UCCUGGUUAACCCAGGCAGUCUCAUUAGAGUCCCCACCUUAAAUGUUGGCAACUAAUGAUAAGGGUUGCGCUCGUUGCUGGACUUAACCAAACACCUCACGGCACGAGCUGACGACAGCCAUGCAGCACCUAUGCAGCAGUCCUUACGGAAGAUCUCAUCUCUGAGACUGUCCACUGCAUUUCGAGCCUGGGUAAGGUUCUUCGCGUUGCAUCGAAUUAAACCACAUGCUCCACUGCUUGUGCGGGCCCCCGUCAAUUCUUUUGAGUUUCACCCUUGCGAGCGUACUCCCCAGGCGGUAUACUUAUCGCGUUAGCUUCGACACAGUCUGGGUUGAGCCAAACUACAUCAAGUAUACAUCGUUUACGGCAAGGACUAC
rnacentral:misc_RNA from 1 species